rnacentral:rRNA from 1 species
GGUUGUCCCGGUUUAAGCGUGUAGGCUGGUUUUCCAGGCAAAUCCGGAAAAUCAAGGCUGAGGCGUGAUGACGAGGCACUACGGUGCUGAAGCAACAAAUGCCCUGCUUCCAGGAAAAGCCUCUAAGCAUCAGGUAACAUCAAAUCGUACCCCAAACCGACACAGGUGGUCAGGUAGAGAAUACCAAGGCGCUUGAGAGAACUCGGGUGAAGGAACUAGGCAAAAUGGUGCCGUAACUUCGGGAGAAGGCACGCUGAUAUGUAGGUGAAGUCCCUCGCGGAUGGAGCUGAAAUCAGUCGAAGAUACCAGCUGGCUGCAACUGUUUAUUAAAAACACAGCACUGUGCAAACACGAAAGUGGACGUAUACGGUGUGACGCCUGCCCGGUGCCGGAAGGUUAAUUGAUGGGGUCAGCGCAAGCGAAGCUCUUGAUCGAAGCCCCGGUAAACGGCGGCCGUAACUAUAACGGUCCUAAGGUAGCGAAAUUCCUUGUCGGGUAAGUUCCGACCUGCACGAAUGGCGUAAUGAUGGCCAGGCUGUCUCCACCCGAGACUCAGUGAAAUUGAACUCGCUGUGAAGAUGCAGUGUACCCGCGGCAAGACGGAAAGACCCCGUGAACCUUUACUAUAGCUUGACACUGAACAUUGAGCCUUGAUGUGUAGGAUAGGUGGGAGGCUUUGAAGUGUGGACGCCAGUCUGCAUGGAGCCGACCUUGAAAUACCACCCUUUAAUGUUUGAUGUUCUAACGUGGACCCGUGAUCCGGGUUGCGGACAGUGUCUGGUGGGUAGUUUGACUGGGGCGGUCUCCUCCUAAAGAGUAACGGAGGAGCACGAAGGUUGGCUAAUCCUGGUCGGACAUCAGGAGGUUAGUGCAAUGGCAUAAGCCAGCUUGACUGCGAGCGUGACGGCGCGAGCAGGUGCGAAAGCAGGUCAUAGUGAUCCGGUGGUUCUGAAUGGAAGGGCCAUCGCUCAACGGAUAAAAGGUACUCCGGGGAUAACAGGCUGAUACCGCCCAAGAGUUCAUAUCGACGGCGGUGUUUGGCACCUCGAUGUCGGCUCAUCACAUCCUGGGGCUGAAGUAGGUCCCAAGGGUAUGGCUGUUCGCCAUUUAAAGUGGUACGCGAGCUGGGUUUAGAACGUCGUGAGACAGUUCGGUCCCUAUCUGCCGUGGGCGCUGGAGAACUGAGGGGGGCUGCUCCUAGUACGAGAGGACCGGAGUGGACGCAUCACUGGUGUUCGGGUUGUCAUGCCAAUGGCACUGCCCGGUAGCUAAAUGCGGAAGAGAUAAGUGCUGAAAGCAUCUAAGCACGAAACUUGCCCCGAGAUGAGUUCUCCCUGACCCUUUAAGGGUCCUGAAGGAACGUUGAAGACGACGACGUUGAUAGGCCGGGUGUGUAAGCGCAGCGAUGCGUUGAGCUAACCGGUACUAAUGAACCGUGAGGCUUAACCUUACAACGCCGAAGGUGUUU